rnacentral:rRNA from 1 species
AGCGAACGCUGGCGGCAGGCUUAUCACAUGCAAGUCGAGCGGGCGUAGCAAUACGUCAGCGGCAGACGGGUGAGUAACGCGUGGGAACGUACCUUUUGGUUCGGAACAACACAGGGAAACUUGUGCUAAUACCGGAUAAGCCCUUACGGGGAAAGAUUUAUCGCCGAAAGAUCGGCCCGCGUCUGAUUAGCUAGUUGGUGAGGUAACGGCUCACCAAGGCGACGAUCAGUAGCUGGUCUGAGAGGAUGAUCAGCCACAUUGGGACUGAGACACGGCCCAAACUCCUACGGGAGGCAGCAGUGGGGAAUAUUGGACAAUGGGGGCAACCCUGAUCCAGCCAUGCCGCGUGAGUGAUGAAGGCCCUAGGGUUGUAAAGCUCUUUUGUGCGGGAAGAUAAUGACGGUACCGCAAGAAUAAGCCCCGGCUAACUUCGUG